rnacentral:tRNA from 1 species
UGGAGCAGUUGGUAGCUCGUCGGGCUCAUAACCCGAAGGUCGCAGGUUCAAAUCC